GGUAAAAUGGCCGAGCGGACAGGCGGCGGGCUGUAGACCUGCCUAGGGGGUUAGACUCCUCUUUUAUCA
rnacentral:tRNA from 1 species